rnacentral:rRNA from 1 species
UAGGGAAUAUUGGACAAUGGGUGUAAGCCUGAUCCAGCCAUGCCGCGUGCAGGAAGAAGGCCUUUUGGGUUGUAAACUGCUUUUGCCGGGGGAUAAAAGAUCCAUGCGUGGAGAAUUGAAGGUACCCGGUGAAUAAGCCACGGCUAAAUACGUGCCAGCAGCCGCGGUAAUACGUAGGUGGCAAGCGUUGUCCGGAUUUAUUGGGUUUAAAGGGUGCGUAGGCGGUCCUGUAAGUCAGUGGUGAAAUACGGCAGCUCAACUGUCGAGGUGCCACUGAUACUGCGGGACUUGAGUACAGAACGAGGUAGGCGGAAUUGACGGUGUAGCGGUGAAAUGCUUAGAUAUCGUCAAGAACACCGAUAGCGAAGGCAGCUUACUAGACUGUAACUGACGCUGAGGCACGAAAGUGCGGGGAUCAAACAGGAUUAGAUACCCUGGUAGUCCACGCCCUAAACGAUGUCAACUGGUUGUUGGGAAGGUUCCUUCUCAGUAACGUAGCUAACGCGUGAAGUUGACCGCCUGGGGAGUACGGCCGCAAGGUUG